rnacentral:siRNA from 1 species
UCCGUGGUUUCGCGUAUCGGC